rnacentral:lncRNA from 1 species
AUGGGAGGCCGCGCCGUCCCGGGCGCCAGGAAAAACACACGCGACUGCCCGGGACACCUCCGGCGGCGGCGGCGAGGAGCAAGGGGAGGGAGGGGGCAGGGAGCCCAGCCGGGGCGCUUCCAGAGCUUUCUCACCCCACUCCCAAAGCCUCGGCCCCAGCCGCUGGAAGGCGGGCGGGGGGGGGGGGCACCCGCGCGCUCCGGCGGCGCAGGGCCGCCCUGGGUCGGGAGCGAGGGGUGGGGGGGCGAGGGGGGCGGCAGGCGGCGCGGGGCGCCCGGCCGGUACCUGGUGUGGCUGUGGUUGCGGGGACAGUCCUUCUUCUCCAUGAUGGCCGGCACGCAGUUGGUGAGCUCCGUCCAGUCGGCGUGCAGCCCGCAGCUCCAGCCGGUGGAGAAGCGGGAGAAAAGCCACGUCUCCUUCUUGCCGGGCCGGUGGCAGGUGCACUUCUUCUGGCCCGCUUUGCAGCUACACGGCUGCUCCAGCCGGAUGUUCUUCACCAGGUGGCGGCCGAACGUGGUGCCCCCGGUCUUCUGGAUGUGCAGGAACACGAUCACGUCGCGCCCUUUGAUGUUGAAAUCCACGAAGCGGGUCAGGUCCUUCAGGCUGAAGUUGAAGCGCGGCUCGAGGCGGGGCGGGGAGCCGUUCUCGGGGGCCUCGGAGUCCGGCUCCUCCUCCUCCUCGUCGUCGUCGUCCUCCUCCGGCUCCCCGAGCUCCCCGUCCUCGUCCUCCGGCGCCGCGGCCCCCCGAGGGCCCUCGGGCGGCCCCCGGGGGGGCGGGGGCAGCUGGGGCCGCCGCUCCCCCUGCUCCGGCGGCGCCUGUGCCCGGCGGGCGGGACCCGGGGCGGCGGGCGGGCCGGCCUCGUCCGCGCGCGGCUGCUCCCCGAAGUUGGCGCAGGAGCUGGUGCAGGAGGGGGACACGUACUGGUACAUGAUGACCACGAAGAGGAGAGUGAGCACCGGCGUCAGCAGCCACUUGUUGAACCUUUCAUCCAUGGUCCCGCUCUCAGGCCGGCAGGCGAGGCGGCGGCGGCGGCGGCGGCGGCGGCGCGGACUGGCGCCCGCUCGGAAGUUUCGGGGACUCCGGGGCGCGGCUCGGAGCCCGCCGCUCCUCCAUGCCCCUGACGCCGGCGCGUGCGGCUGGCUGGCGGCCCCGCGGCACUCCGGCGCUCCGGGGCUGGCCGCGCCAGGGCCUGCGAGCCGAGCGGCGAGGCGGGCGCCGGCGCGCGCGGCUGCGGCUCCGGCUCCGGCUGCGGCUGCGGCUCCGGCUCCGGCUGCGGCUGCGGCUCCGGCUGCGGCGCGGGGCGCCCUGCGCUCCCGGGGGCGCCCGGCGUGGCCCGCUCCCCGCUCCCGCCCGGCGCGGCGCGCGCGCUCAGGCCACGCGGGGCAUCCCGUCGCCGGCGCUCGGGCGCUGGGGCGCUGGGCGGCGCGGCGCGGGUCCUGCACCUGCGCGGGGCAGCCGGGCGGCCGCGGCCGCGAGCGCGGGGCGCUGCAUGAGGCUCGCCGGGGCGCGGGCGCGGGCCAAGGGCGAAGGCGCGGCCCGGCCCCGCCGCGCCCGGAACGCGCAGCCGGCGCCUUUGCCCUCGGGGCGCGGGGCGCGGGGCGCGGGAGCCGUGGGAGCCGCGGGGGCAGCCGGCGCCCGCCGCAAGUUUGCAGAGGGGCCCCCGCGGCGGCUGCCCGCGAGGCGUCUGUGCGGAGCCGCCGCUCCGGGAAGAGUCGCGCUGCCGCUCCGGGUCGGUCCGCCCAGGCGCGGGCACGCAGGCACACUCGCACACACUGGCUGGCACCGCCACAACCCGCCAGCCGGUGUGACAGGAGCCCUGCUACCCGCAGCAGAAACCUGCCCUAG